UGAUGGAUUUUUACAAUUUUGCCUCUUUCUUGUAAGAUUCUAUAACAGAAAGAAACAAUAAUGCCAGUUAUAAAUAAAGAGCCGUUGUAGAUUUAAAGGCUCCCAAUCAGGCCCGUAUCAGAAUACAGGAGCAGCACAAUGUACACAAAAUCAUCAUCAUGACCAACUUUGAUCUACACUGGACUACAUGAGCUGCUGCUACAUAAACUAAAGUUUUUACCCCUCAGUCGGCUGAUGUCAUCAUCCCAGUGGGCGUGCGGGCGGUGUGGACAUCCAACUUUACGAAGGUCUCUGUGAUGUCAUUGAGAGUGGACGCUUUUGUAUGAUGAUCCCAGCCACUGUGAGCUCAGAAACCCCGCCCACCUGCACUUCAAACUUUCUAUUUGUGAGGGCAGCUAAUCAGAAUAGUUUGUUUUAGAUCAAGGAUGAAGUGACAGGUUGAGUCACGGCCAACACAAGUACAUAAGAAAUGUUUUGUAAGCC
ensembl:lncRNA